UACGAAGGGGGGCUAGCGUUGCUCGGAAUCACUGGGCGUAAAGGGUGCGUAGGCGGUUUUUUAAGUUUGAUGUGAAAUCCCGGGGCUUAACCCUGGAAUUGCAUUGAAUACUGAAGAACUAGAGUACUGGAGAGGAAACUGGAAUUUACGGUGUAGCAGUGAAAUGCGUAGAGAUCGUAAGGAAGACCAGUGGCGAAGGCGAGUUUCUGGACAGUUACUGACGCUGAGGCACGAAGGCCAGGGGAGCAAACGGG
rnacentral:rRNA from 1 species